UGUCUGGUGGCUUGCAGGGUGUGGGGAAAAUCUGGGUGUGUUGGUGAGAAAGUGACAAGGAUUGCCUGUGCUGUCGUGAAGGCAUCUUUGUUUAUGCGGCCACUCUUGUGUGAGGGUGUCUGGGUGUGAUUAAGGAUACAGCAGCAUACAUGAAACCCCAUGCAGUGUGUGAGGGAGUCAGACAGCGGCCCCCUGUCUCUCAGGUUAAGACAAAAAUAACAGCCAAGGCAACUAUGGGCAUUGGACUAAGUGCUGAAUAUAAAUCAACUCAUUUCAUCCUCCCAACAGCCCUUGGGGCGGGGCCCUGUUAUCCCCAUUUGACAGGAAAGUAAACUGAAGCACUGACAGGUGAAGAAACUUGCAGGAGCGGCAGAGCUGGGAUUUGAGCCCUGCUAGCUGGUUUCACAGUCCUAACUACGCAGCAACCUCAGAUCCUCCCUCUCACCAAAGCCAUGGGAAGUCCCCAACCAACCUGGAGACACUGAAUCAGCAGCCCUCAGAGGCAAGGCCAUGUGGACCCAGCCCGUCUGCCCUCCUUAAAAGGGAGAAGAGACAUUCUUGAGGCACAGGGAGCAAAAGCCCAAA